rnacentral:rRNA from 1 species
UCUUGAAACCGUGUGCUUACAAGAAGUUCGAGGCCGUUAAUGGCUGAGAGCGUGCUUUUUGUAGAAUGAACCGGAGAGUUACGAUUGCGUGCAAGGUUAAGGUGCAAAGACUGGAGCCGUAGCGAAAGCGAGUCUUAAUAGGGCGAAUCAGUACGUAGUUGUAGACCCGAAACCGAGUGACCUAUCCAUGGUCAGGUUGAAGGUGGGGUAAUACCUACUGGAGGACCGAACAAGUGGGUGUUAAAAAACCCUUUGAUGAACUGUGGAUAGCGGUGAAAUUCCAAUCGAACUCGGAGAUAGCUGGUUCUAUCCGAAAUACAUUUAGGUGUAGCCUUGCAAUUAGCUUACUGGAGGUAGAGCACUAUUUGGUCUAGGGGCCCUUCAAGGGUUACCAAAAUCAGAUAAACUCCGAAUGCCAGCUAAGUAUGUGCAGGAGUCAGACGGUGAGUGAUAAGAUCCAUCGUCAAAAGGGGAACAGCCCAGAUCACCAGUUAAGGUC